rnacentral:rRNA from 1 species
UGGGAAGAUACUUGGUUAGGUGACUCACCACUGGCCUUGCAGUAUCAGUCCCUUUACAACAUUGCACAACGGAAAAAGGUUUCCAUUGCUACAGUGAUGGGCUCCGUUCCUCUUAACAUACAAUUUAGGCGAUUUGUUAUUGGUGAGCGUUGGGAUAGAUGGUUACAUCUUGUGCGUAGGUUAAUGGAGGUUAACCUUUCCGAUGUACCAGACACUCUGCAAUGGAAGCUCUCCAGGUCAGGAGUCUUCUCGGUUAAAUCCAUGUACACAGACUUGAUUAAUACUGGGACUAUCCCGCGGACGAUGCAUAUUUGGAAAGUUAAGGUGCCCUUGAAGAUAAAAGUUUUUAUGUGGUUUGUGCAUAAGGGUGUCAUUCUCACUAAAGAUAAUUUAGCUAAGCGUAACUGGGAAGGAAGUAAAAUAUGUUACUUUUGUGAUCAGGAUGAAACAAUAGAGCAUCUAUUUAUCAAUUGUCCACUUGCUAAACUGCUUUGGCGAACUAUUCACGUUAGCUUCAAUAUAACUCCACCUCUCACGAUAUCACAUUUGUUUGAUAACUGGUUGGCUGGAGUG